GACGAACGCUGGCGGCGUGCCUAAUACAUGCAAGUCGAGCGCUUCUUUCCUCCCGAGUGCUUGCACUCAAUUGGAAAGAGGAGUGGCGGACGGGUGAGUAACACGUGGGUAACCUACCCAUCAGAGGGGGAUAACACUUGGAAACAGGUGCUAAUACCGCAUAACAGUUUAUGCCGCAUGGCAUAAGAGUGAAAGGCGCUUUCGGGUGUCGCUGAUGGAUGGACCCGCGGUGCAUUAGCUAGUUGGUGAGGUAACGGCUCACCAAGGCCACGAUGCAUAGCCGACCUGAGAGGGUGAUCGGCCACACUGGGACUGAGACACGGCCCAGACUCCUACGGGAGGCAGCAGUAGGGAAUCUUCGGCAAUGGACGAAAGUCUGACCGAGCAACGCCGCGUGAGUGAAGAAGGUUUUCGGAUCGUAAAACUCUGUUGUUAGAUAAGAACAAGGACGUUAGUAACUGAACGUCCCCUGACGGUAUCUAACCAGAAAGCCACGACUAACUACGUG
rnacentral:rRNA from 1 species